ACAGGCAGCCUUGGUGGGGAGAGAGUGCAGGUACUUUGCCUUCAGAAUAAUUUGCAGGACCCAAGCAAGCUUUCGGAGCGCCCUUAUUUUCUUCGGUCGUUGCCCUCUCCCUCCGGGAAAGAAGAUCCCACUUUUGAAACAAACAGCCCCUGAAGCACCCUGCCCAAGCCAAAGCCCGAUGGGCUGCUGUGCAUGUGCUGUCCUUUCUUGCAGUUUAUUCUGGGCCUGUGUGGAAUAGAAAGACAAUUCUUUAUUUGACUGGUAGGAAAGAAAAGAGAAGACUCCUCAGGGUUUCCAAGGAGGACUGGAGCGGCUGCUUUAGUGAAGAAAUGGAGAAUCAAAGAAGUACAGGACCUGUCUCAAAGUCACACUACUAGGAAAUCCUGAGGGGUUUGACACUUUUCAUCCUCCAGCCAUUAAUCAUCUUGUAGGGAAAGGCUAUACACUGGUGGGAAUAAAAAGCAAGCAGUUCCUGGCCGGUGAUACUCCAGUUAAGGGUGUCUGACUGACAGCAUGUUGGCACCAGCAUUGAAGGAAGUGAUGGACUUUGGCUCCAGGUUCCUGUCCUGAGACCACAGCAGGAUGUGCCUUGGACAAAGGCUUGGAUUCCUGGAUCAUCUGGUGACUUCAAGUAUCUGGUCUCAGGGUGGUGAACUUAUUGUCUGAAUUCCUAACCUGUGAGCUUAUGAUGAUGGUGCCUGUCAAUUAACUGAAUAACUGUGGUUUUGAACCUCUUGAGGCCAGGUACUGUCUGAGAAUACCUACAGUGGCUGAUACCAGGU